GAACGCUGGUGGCGUGCUUACACAUGCAAGUCGAACGGGAAACGUCCUUCGGGAACCGAGUACAGUGGCGCACGGGUGAGUAACACGUAGGUGACCUACCUAUCGCUGGGGAACAACCCCGGGAGGACGGAGCUAAUUCCGCAUACGCUUUCCAACUCGCGGGUUGGAAAGGAAAGAUGGCCUCUUCAUGAAAGCUAUCGGCGAAUGAUGGGCCUGCGCGUCAUUAGCUUGUUGGUGAGGUAACGGCUCACCAAGGCUGCGAUGACUAGCUGGUCUGAGAGGAUGAUCAGCCACACUGGCACUGGAACACGGGCCAGACUCCUACGGGAGGCAGCAGUGGGGAAUAUUGCGCAAUGGGCGAAAGCCUGACGCAGCAACGCCGCGUGAGUGACGAAGGCCUUCGGGUCGUAAAGCUCUGUCGAGAGGGACGAAACACCGGUGGGAACAAUACCUCGCCGGUUUGACGGUACCUCCAAAGGAAGCACCGGCUAACUCCGUGCCAGCAGCCGCGGUAAUACGUAGGGUGCAAGCGUUAUCCGGAUUUAUUGGGCGUAAAGAGUUCCGCAGGCGUCUUUACAAGUUUCUUGUUUAAGCCUGAGGCUCAACUUCAGAAAAGCAAGAAAAACUGUAAAGAUUGAGUUUGUUUGGGGAAGCUGGAAUUCUCGGUGGAGGGGUGAAAUCCGUAGAUAUCGAGAGGAACACCAAUCGCGAAGGCAAGCUUCUAAAACAAUACUGACGCUAAGGGACGAAAGCUUGGGUAGCAAAAGGGAUUAGAGACCCCUGUAGUCCAAGCCGUAAACUUUCCUCGCUAGUUGCCUGGUUAAUAAUGCAU
rnacentral:rRNA from 1 species